AUGAACGCUGGCGGCGUGCCUCAUCCAUGCAAGUCGCGCGAACGGACGAGAAGCUUGCUUCUCUGAUGUUAGCGGCGGACGGGUGAGUAACACGUGGAUAACCUACCUAUAAGACUGGGAUAACUUCGGGAAACCGGAGCUAAUACCGGAUAAUAUUUUGAACCGCAUGGUUCAAAAGUGAAAGACGGUCUUGCUGUCACUUAUAGAUGGAUCCGCGCUGCAUUAGCUAGUUGGUAAGGUAACGGCUUACCAAGGCAACGAUGCAUAGCCGACCUGAGAGGGUGAUCGGCCACACUGGAACUGAGACACGGUCCAGACUCCUACGGGAGGCAGCAGUAGGGAAUCUUCCGCAAUGGGCGAAAGCCUGACGGAGCAACGCCGCGUGAGUGAUGAAGGUCUUCGGAUCGUAAAACUCUGUUAUUAGGGAAGAACAUAUGUGUAAGUAACUGUGCACAUCUUGGCGGUACCUAAUCAGAAAGCCACGGCUAACUACGUG
rnacentral:rRNA from 1 species